rnacentral:rRNA from 1 species
CUACGGGUCGCUCCAGCAAGGAAUAUUGGUCAAUGGGCGAAAGCCUGAACCAGCGACGCCGCGUGAGGGAUGAAGGGCUUCGGUUCGUAAACCUCUUUUCCCAGGGAUGAAAAAUGACAGUACCUGGGGAAUAAGUCACGGCUAACUACGUGCCAGCAGCCGCGGUAAAACGUGGGUGGCGAGCGUUAUCCGGAUUUACUGGGCGUAAAGUGGGCGCAGGCGGCUUUUCAAGUCGGGUGUAAAAUUUCCCAGCUCAACUGGGAGGGACCAUCCGAUACUGCUAAGCUGGAGGGCAGCAGAGGGAGGUAGAAUUCCCGGUGUAGUGGUGGAAUGCGUAGAUAUCGGGAGGAAUACCAGUGGCGAAAGCGGCCUCCUGGGCUGUUUCUGACGCUGAUGCCCGAAAGCGUGGGGAGCAAACAGGAUUAGAUACCCUCGUAGUC